rnacentral:misc_RNA from 1 species
GAAAUGCGAUAAGUAAUGUGAAUUGCAGAAUUCAGUGAAUCAUCGAAUCUUUGAACGCACAUUGCGCCCCCUGGCAUUCCGGGGGGCAUGCCUGUUCGAGCGUCAUUACACCACUCAAGCCUGGCUUGGUAUUGAGCGCCGCGGCCUGCCCGCGCGCUCCAAUGUCUCCGGCUGAGCCGUCCGUCUCUAAGCGUUGUGAAUAGCGAUCGCUUGCGAGGCCCGGGCGAUUCGACGCCGUUAAACCCCCCAUUUUCUAUGGUUGACCUCGGAUCAGGUAGGGAUACCCGCUGAACUUAAGC